AGGUGCUCAACCACUAGAUCAAUUGGAACCAAAGGGAUGACGAUGUUGACCUUUUCUGACCCUCCUGACUCCAAUCAACUAAAGCGUGGACUCUGUUGACCUUUGCACUAAUUCUAUGCUCAAUUCUUCUCAGCUCAGGCUCCUUCAUGAACAUGCAGGAUCUAGAUCUAUUCCAAAUUUGUGGAAUUAAUUAGAUAAUUAAGAGGAACCUCAGAACUACGAGGAAUGAUCAAAGAAGGCAUCUGACACAUCCUACAAAGAAAAGGAGGAUUCCCAAAGAUAUGAAAGAAAAAAAGGCGUGAAGGUUUGUGACCACCGCCAAAAGCUGAUCCCAACAAUAGCAUCCCAGCACACACCGCACCCGCGCGCCUCCCCCACGUGCGCCUUCCAAUCAAGCUUCUCAAAGAGGUUUCAGCUGAAGCCCAUUCCAACAGGCGGCGUUCCAGAGAGCAGGAACCGUCUCCACUCUUCCUCC